rnacentral:tRNA from 1 species
GGGCGGUUAGCUCAGCUGGCUAGAGCGUCUGGUUUACACCCAGAAGGCCGGGGGUUCAACUCCCUCACCGCCCACCA